rnacentral:rRNA from 1 species
GAUGAACGCUGGCGGCGUGCCUAAUACAUGCAAGUCGAGCGAACAGACGAGGAGCUUGCUCCUCUGACGUUAGCGGCGGACGGGUGAGUACCCGUGGGUUACCCACCUUUUAGGCUGGGGUUAACUUCGGAAACCGGGGCCUAUUACGGAAUAUUUAUUUAACCGGCUUGGUUAAAUGUUGAAGACGGGUUUUCCUGUCAUUAUUGAUUGAACCGCGCCGCAUUAGCUAGUUGGUAAGGUAACGGCUUACCAAGGCAACGAUGCGUAGCCGACCUGAGAGGGUGAUCGGCCACACUGGAACUGAGACACGGUCCAGACUCCUACGGGAGGCAGCAGUAGGGAAUCUUCCGCAAUGGGCGAAAGCUUGACGGAGCAACGCCGCGUGAGUGAUGAAGGUCUUCGGAUCGUAAAACUCUGUUAUUAGGGAAGAACAAAUGUGUAAGUAACUAUGCACGUCUUGACGGUACCUAAUCAGAAAGCCACGGCUAACUACGUG